CAGUCGCCACGGUAAUACGGAGGGUGCAAGCGUUAAUCGGAAUUACUGGGCGUAAAGCGUGCGUAGGCGGUUCGUUAAGUCUGUUGUGAAAUCCCAGAGCUCAACUCUGGAACUGCCUUUGAUACUGUCGAUCUGGAGUAUGGAAGAGGUGAGUGGAAUUCCGAGUGUAGAGGUGAAAUUCGUAGAUAUUCGGAGGAACACCAGUGGCGAAGGCGGCUCACUGGUCCAUUACUGACGCUGAGGUGCGAAAGCGUGGGGAGCAAACAGGAUUAGAUACCCGUGUAGUCCCUGUCUCUUAUAC
rnacentral:rRNA from 1 species